rnacentral:lncRNA from 1 species
UAUGGCUAAAACUCUCAAGUUUUUUUAUACUAUAAUUUUAUUUCUUUCCUUGUUUCUUGUUUUGCAAAGGAAGUUGACGGAUGCGAAGUCGAUGGUGAUUGUCCAAAAGUUUUCAAAUUAAAUAGGACCAAUGCCAGAUAUUAUAUGAGUAUAUAUGAAACCCAAGAUAUUACACAAGCGCCAUACAAGGAAGAAUAAGUUCUUACACUAGCAAAAGAUAUAUGCAAUAGAGAAAUGAUAUUUGUACAACCAUUUCCUAAUAACUUUUAUGAUAACUUUCUUUCUCAUACUCAUAUUAUAUUUUUAAUUUCUCUCUAUUGCUUUAAUUUUUGUUCCAACACAUACUUCUCUUCGUAAAAAUAUAGUUGUUAAUGUGGUUGUCAACCAAAUUGCUGUUCAAAUAACGUUGCUGUUUUUUUGUAAUGCUGGGACCUUGCAUUUAUGGAUUAGUAUUCUAAUAUGUUUGUAAAAAAAUGAAUUAAGAAACUAAGAAAUAUUAAAAUUAGAUUUCCUUCUUCUCUCUUAAUUUUAUAUGUAUCACCAUGACCUGCAAUUUAGGCAUAUCACUAAAGAAUUUUAAUAUCUUUACCACUUACGUUGAAAUAGAAUCAUUUUACUUUGAAGCUUAUAACUCUUAAUUUUUUGUCAUAACAUAGUUAUAGUUUUUUUUAGGGUUAAAUAUGUUUUUGAUCUUUAUAAAUAUACCAACUUUUCGUUUUAGUUUCUCUAAAAUUUUCCUUCAACUUUUAGUCCCUAUAAAAUUUUCAAUCACUACUUUUGGUCCCUAUUUAUAAGUUAAUUUUAGUAUUUUUUUUUUAAUGAAAUGGUGCAGAAAUGUGUAGAAUAUUGUAAAAAAAUUUCAUAAAAAAAAUUAUAAUUUUUUAACAAAACAUAAAUUUAAUAUGAAUUUUUAACCAUAAAAAAAUAUAAAAAUUCAUGUUUUGUUAAAAAAAAUUAAAUUUUUUUAGGAGAGAUUCUUAUAAUAUUAUGAAUUUUUCUGCAAAAUUUCAUUCAAAAAUAUGAAUUCUACAUAUGAGUUUACUUUAAAGGAGGGACCAAAAGUGGAAAUGAAAAAAUUUUGAGGGACUAAAAGUUGAAGGAAAAUUUUAGAAUGACUAAAACGAAAAGUUGGUAUAUUUAUAGAGGUCAAAAACAUAUUUAACCCUUUUUUUUAUUACAGAAACAUUGUUAUAUACAGUUAUGAUAUUUGAAAUGAUUCAAUUUAUAUUUCUCUUAAGCGAGGGUGUAUAUGUUAAUUUCUUUCAUGUAAGAAGAAAUUAUUUGUAACCAUCUACAAACUAACCUCUCAUUCAAAGCUAUAUAUUUCUAAGACUCGUACCUAACCUCCCAUUCGAAGGUGCUAACAAACACAACAGAUAGGAUUUGAAUUGUGUUGACCAUUAUAAUUGUAAUUGUUUGUUGCUAAAAUCAACUCACGAGAAGAAAGAGUUAUCUCUUAUAUCAUUUAACUUCAAUUAAAAUAGUUAGACAAAGGUUGAAGUUAUAUCAUAAAGAAUUAUAAAAAGCAAGAGAAUAUAAGAAAAAUUAGCCUAUUUUAUUAUACUAGGUCAUCAUCCAACUGAUAGAUUUGUCUCAUUAUAUUGAAGGACUUAAUCCAUUGUAUUGGUUUAGGAAUUCAAUUUAGUUAGUUUUAACUUUAUCUUUGAUUAGUAGUUUGUUUGGAAAUUACAGUUUCUGAAGUAUAGCUUCUGAAGUAUCAGGUUCUGAAGUAUAGGUUCUGAAGUACCAGCUUCUGAAGUACAGUUUCUGAUGUGCAGCUUCUGAUGUCUUCAGAAGUUGAAUCUAGUAACAAAGCGUGUUAACCAAGGUAGUUAGUUUGUUACAGGAGUUUGUUACAACGUCUAGUUGUAAAUAUAUUCACUCAUGUGUUGUAAAUAAUGACGAAUUCAAUUCAAUAAAAAUUUACACAAAUCUUUUACUCGUAUCUCUUUUCUCUCUCAA